rnacentral:tRNA from 1 species
UCUCCUGUAGCUCAGUAUUAGAGCGUUUGACUGGUGUACUGAAGGUCAUAGGUUCCACUCCUGUUGGGAGAA